GACGAACGCUAGCGGCAGGCCUAAUACAUGCAAGUCGAACGGUAAGGCUUCUUCGGAAGUACACGAGUGGCGCACGGGUGCGUAACACGUAUACAACUUACCCUUCAGGGGGGGAUAGUCGCGGGAAACUGCGAAUAAUACCCCAUACGAUCUUAGAAUCGCAUGAUUUUAAGAUGAAAGCUCCGGCGCUGAAGGAUGGGUAUGCGUCCCAUUAGCUAGUUGGUGAGGUAAAGGCUCACCAAGGCGACGAUGGGUAGCUGGUCUGAGAGGAUGAUCAGCCACACGGGCACUGAGACACGGGCCCGACUCCUACGGGAGGCAGCAGUAAGGAAUAUUGGGCAAUGGGGGCAACCCUGACCCAGCCAUGCCGCGUGAAGGAAGACGGCCCUCUGGGUUGUAAACUUCUUUUAUAUGAGGCUAAUGUUGUGCUAUACGCACGAUUGCAGGUACCAUAUGAAUAAGCACCGGCUAACUACG
rnacentral:rRNA from 1 species